UACAGAGGUCCCAAGCGUUAUUCGGAUUCACUGGGCGUAAAGGGUGCGUAGGUGGCGAGGUAAGUCGGAUGUGAAAGCUCGGAGCUCAACUCCGAAAUGGCAUUGGAAACUACCUUGCUCGAGGGUUGGAGGGGGGACUGGAAUGCUUGGUGUAGCAGUGAAAUGCGUAGAUAUCAAGCGGAACACCAGUGGCGAAGGCGAGUCCCUGGACAACUCCUGACACUGAGGCACGAAAGCUAGGGGAGCAAACAGG
rnacentral:rRNA from 1 species